CAGCAGUGGGGAAUAUUGCACAAUGGGGGGAAACCCUGGAUGCAGCCAUGCCGCGUGUGUGAAGAAGGCCUUCGGGUUGUAAAGCACUUUCAGUAGGGAGGAAGGUAGUGUAGUUAACACCUGCACUAUUUGACGUUACCUACAGAAGAAGCACCGGCUAACUCCGUGCCAGCAGCCGCGGUAAUACGGAGGGUGCGAGCGUUAAUCGGGAAUUACUGGGCGUAAAAGCGCAUGCAGGCGGCCUGUUAAGUCAGAUGUGAAAGCCCGGGGCUUAACCUCGGAAUUGCAUUUGAAACUGGCAGGCUAGAGUCUUGUAGAGGGGGUAGAAUUUCAGGUGUAGCGGUGAAAAUGCGUAGAGAUCUGAAGGAAUACCAGUGGCGAAGGCGGCCCCCUGGACAAAGACUGACGCUCAGAUGCGAAAGCGUGGGGAGCAAACAGGAUUAGAUACCCUGGUAG
rnacentral:rRNA from 1 species